GCGGCCGCGGGAAUUCGAUUAGAGUUUGAUCAUGGCUCAGAUUGAACGCUGGCGGCAGGCCUAACACAUGCAAGUCGAGCGGCAGCGGGGGGAAGCUUGCUUCCCCGCCGGCGAGCGGCGGACGGGUGAGUAAUGUCUGGGGAUCUGCCCGAUGGAGGGGGAUAACCACUGGAAACGGUGGCUAAUACCGCAUAACCUCUUUGGAGUAAAGUGGGGGACCUUCGGGCCUCACGCCAUCGGAUGAACCCAGAUGGGAUUAGCUAGUAGGUGGGGUAAUGGCUCACCUAGGCGACGAUCCCUAGCUGGUCUGAGAGGAUGACCAGCCACACUGGGACUGAGACACGGCCCAGACUCCUACGGGAGGCAGCAGUGGGGAAUAUUGCACAAUGGGCGCAAGCCUGAUGCAGCCAUGCCGCGUGUAUGAAGAAGGCCUUCGGGUUGUAAAGCUCUUUUACCCGGGAUGAUAAUGACAGUACCGGGAGAAUAAGCUCCGGCUAACUCCGUGCCAGCAGCCGCGGUAAUACGAAUCACUAGUGAAUUCGCGGCCGCCUGCAGGUCGACCAUAUGGGAGAGCUCCCAACGCGU
rnacentral:rRNA from 1 species